AACGAACGCUGGCGGCAUGCCUAACACAUGCAAGUCGAACGGAAAGUUCGGGUCUAUUGGCGCAGGGCGGCGUAAGGCGGGGGGAGCUACACUUGAGUAAGGAAUACCUCCCCUAAGGGUAUCCUAAUGCCACAUGAGCUCUUCGCGCCAAAGAGCUAUUGCCGUAGGGUGGGGCCGCGUUGGUUUCGGCAGUUGGUAGGGUACAAGCCUACCAACGCCACGAUGCAGAGCUGGUGUGAGAGGAUGCCCAGCUACACUGGGACUGAGACACGGCCCAGACUCGGACGGGGCGCAGCAGUGGGGAAUAUUGGAGAAGGGGGGCAAGUCUGAUCCAGCAAUGCCGCGUGAGUGAUGAAGGGCUUAGGGUUGUAAAGUCGUCUUAGCCGGGAUGAUAAUGACAGUACCGGGAGAAUAAGCACCGGCUAACUACGUG
rnacentral:rRNA from 1 species